UUAGGAAUUUUGCGCAAUGGACGAAAGUCUGACGCAGCAACUCCGCGUGAGUGAUGAAGGCCUUCGGGUUGUAAAGCUCUUUUAGUCGGGACGAAGAAAAUGACGGUACCGACAGAAACAGCACCGGCUAACCCUGUGCCAGCAGCCGCGGUAAUACAGGGGGUGCAAGCGUUAUUCGGAAUUAUUGGGCGUAAAGAGCGUGUAGGCGGCCAAGCAAGUUUGGUGUGAAAGCCCCGGGCUUAAUCCGGGAAGUGCAUUGAAUACUGCUAGGCUAGAGUAUAGGAGAGGAUGGCGGAAUUCCUGGUGUAGAGGUGAAAUUCGUAGAUAUCAGGAGGAACAACAGAGGCGAAGGCGGCCAUCUGGACUAUUACUGACGCUAAGGCGCGAAAGUGUGGGGAGCAAACAGG
rnacentral:rRNA from 1 species